UGCUCCUGUGUUCUCUUUUUUAUCCUUUGUUCUUGUUGUUGGCUUUAGAAAUCUUUGGGCGUUACUCUGUACCAUUACCUUCAUUAAUGGUUCAUAUGUUAUGAAAUAUUUAACAUAAACCUUUUAUUUUCUAGUUUACUUCUUCGUACCAAAGAGGGAAUGAUGAUGGCAACGAAGUCCAGUAUGGAAGACAGAAAUUAACAGAAAAAAAGCUUCAUAAAAUGCAUGUUCUAGGAAAUAUUUAAAUCCCAAGAAAAUUAAGCAACAAGAAGAGAGUCUGGGGGGUAGAAUUAAAGGUGAUUUUGAGACUAGAGAGUGAAUAGAGAUCUAGAGAGCUUCACCAGUCUAGCUAUAUAUAUAUAUAUAUAUAUAUAUAUGUAUCUAGCUAGCUCUCUUUCGCAGUCAAUACGAGGGAGAGCAGGCAAUGCAAGCAAGCAAGAGAAUAGCUGAGGAAGCACCAUCUUCUUCAAGACUGGAGCUGCUUCUUUUGAACUUGCAAGUUUUUCCUUUGUUGCAUUGAAUCUGCUUCUUCAUAUGCUGUUGGUGCUGAUUGUAUUGUUGAUAGUUGUAAUUCUCCCUCCCCUUGUUCUGUUGUUCUUGUGGUUGCUGCUGCCUCUUCUUCAUGACUCGACUUCUUUGCUUACGAUCUUCUUCUUCUCAGACCUUGAUAGAGGAAACUCAGUUGUCACUACGACUAACAAGUUGUAGAAGAGAGUGAGAGAAAGAAGUCUGUGCAAGGGGAACAGGCACGCAUGCCCUCAGUUUAUAGCCCAU
rnacentral:lncRNA from 1 species